rnacentral:rRNA from 1 species
UACGUAGGGGGCUAGCGUUGUCCGGAUUUAUUGGGCGUAAAGAGCGUGUAGGCGGCCAGAUAGGUCCGUUGUGAAAACUCGAGGCUUAACCUCGAGCUGUCGGCGGAAACCAUCUGGCUAGAGUCCGGAAGAGGAGAAUGGAAUUCCCGGUGUAGCGGUGAAAUGCGCAGAUAUCGGGAAGAACACCCGUGGCGAAGGCGGUUCUCUGGGACGGUACUGACGCUGAGACGCGAAAGCGUGGGGAGCGAACAGG